AGCAGCAGCAGCGAGCGGGGUUCUUUCGGCAGCCGGCAAGUUACGUCAGUGGUCUACUUCAGGGAACGGCAAUAGGAAUUCCUGCCCCCUCGGCAGCAUCGUGGACGAAUCUACGGGACAGGACCUGCUAUACUGCAGAUGACUUCGCAACAGUUCGGUAACAACUUCGCCGACCUCUACACCACGCUACGCCUGAACAUGAGGGUACCGGCUCUUUCCAGCCACAGCAACUCCGGUGUCACAAGACCUCUUGAUCGACUUGGACGCUCGUCCGAGCCACCGACAAGGCCGUCCUGCGUGGAGAACUGUCGGCAGCACCCGGCUGACAGCUCCUUCCGUGACAUCUUGCACUUGCCAGACCUUUGAAAAGGCGAAAGUGCGGCGAUAGCAAGCUCUCAUCACCGUUGCGAGGGAACCUCAAGCUACGUGAGACGAAAAGAAAUACAUCUCGACGACUGUUGGUAGCGGCGGACAGAUUACGACGCAGUGGUCUUCUGCAGGGACGGCGGUGUAUGCGAAUAAACAUGCUGUUGUUGGUUA